ensembl:lncRNA
CUGGAAAAGGCACAGGGGGGCGUUGGGGGCCCGCCCCGGCCCGGUGGGCUGCUGGCAGCGCUGCGGUGGGCGCGGAGCACCCGUCCCCAGCCCGCUGUAAACAGUGUCACCUCACAAGCACGGCCACCACGCACCAGGGACAGACCCCACACGUGAACCCCGAACGUUUCAUGGCCCCCCACGGGCGGCCCUCCCGUCCCUGCGCACCCCACACAGCCCGGCCCUCCCCCGCCGCCAGCAGGCCUCGCCCCGUCCCGGAGCACGGUGUCGGCCGGUGUUGUCCCGCCACCGGCGGCGAGGCGCCCAGACGCCCCGUGCAGCUCCCUGCGGGCCGCGGGCAGCCCCGCUGGCACCACCGCCACCACCACCCCCCGCCUCCUCCCUGCCUCCCGGCGCACCGGGCUGCCCUGCCCGGCCCUGCCCUCGACGGCGGCCUCCUCCCCUGCCACACGCAGCAGCCGAAGCCGUGCAGGUGGAACGCCCGCCCGCGGCCGGCCGCCCACGGGCAUUCCCCCGCGCAGCUGGGCCAGGCGGGUGGGGGACGCCGGGCGGCCGGGGGCUCCCCCAAAGCCGCGUGCUGCUGCGCGGCGUGCGGGCCGGCUGAGCCGUGACGUGGGCCGGGAGGCUCGGGAGGGGCGAAGGGGCGCCCCGCAGCAGCCCAGCCACCGCGGGCGCCUCUGAUUCAGCAGCACCGGCGGCAGCGUGGCCGGGCAUCACCCUGCUGCCCUCCUGCCCGAGCUGCGCGUUUCCGCUCCUUCUCAUGCACUGGCCUGGGAAAUCCGAGGCCUUUUUUUUUUUUUUUUUUUGCCAGGCUGCACGCCAGCUAGGGUGGCUGCCGCUCAGUCUUGCCGUGGGCCGCCAGGGCCCCCUCCCUGCCAGGGAGCCCCCUGCCCUCCUCGCCGUGCCCCCGCGCCGAGCUGCUCUCUCACGCUGCCUCAGCAGAAAACCCUUUGCUGCUGUCAGUCAGUGCCCUGCCAGUUUAGCAAGGUGAGACAGCUGAGAGCAAAGUCAAGAAGCAGGCCGGGUGCCGUGCCAAGAGGGCCGGGAAGAGCGAGCCUGCAGCGGCCGGGCUCGGGCCGCCGCGGAGCUGCAGGCUGGGAGGGCCGGUACGCGGCGGUGGUCAGUGGCUCUGGCAGGAGGGCGGCCCUGCACGAGCAGAAAGUGAUUAUUUUUCUGCCAGAUCAGCUCCCAGAUCCGGUUCGCCGAGCGGCUACGUUGUGCCGGCACAAUGGGGAGGAUGUGGGUGAGCGCUGAGGAGCUGGGAUCGCUCAGACCGCUUCAGACAGCCCUGGCACCGAAAAAAUGUAACCAUGGCCACAGAGGGACCCCACGUUAAUAGGACUGCAGUUACCUGCAGAGCCUUUGUGAGGCCGAGCCUGAUUCAAUCCCUUACUGAACUGCCUCGCUACGGCCGAUUUAAUGAGUGCUGGAUGUGAGCUAGCAGGAGGCAUGGCGGUGCUUUCACCUGCCCUUCCGCCGUAAUACCUGCACUCGUUUGCACUUUCAGGCAGAGCUGAGAGGGAGGAUGACUGCCUGCUUUCCCAUCACGAUUUAUCCCAAAUGUGUCAUGUUUUCACUCCCAGAAGCAUUUUAGUUUCUUCUUAGUGCCUC